GUAUAUCCUCCACGUGUGAACACGAAGGGGCAAGUUGCAUGCCUCAUGCGGCUGUUGCUCCUUGAGGCAUGGGUCUUUCUGCGUACAACGUUGCAUGCAGAGAGGCACCGUCUAAACGUGGUCUUAAAAUUACAACUCUCUGCCAAUUUAAAACACAGAAUGGAUUGGAAUGCGCAGAACAUCAUUGCGCAUCUGAUCAUGGUAUAUAUUAUAGAGAAGCAGAUAAUUUUAUACAUGUUAAAAUCAUGUAAAUUUUAUAAUUUUAUUCGAAGAUUAUUGUUUAUUUGUCAGAAUUAUCAUUAUUUUAUCCAAUUUACUGUAAAAUCGCGAAUAAUUUAGUGGACUUUAUCAUCGGCGUAGUGAUAUAAACGAAUUUCUGCUUUCCCAUAGCUUCAAUACUGACUUCCGAUGCUGUGGCGAAGUAUAGUAUAAAGUAAAAAAUUCAUUGAAAAUAAUCACUAAGAUUCCUAUCAAAUGUCAGGAAUGUAUAAUAAUAAUAAUAAUAAUUUGUAGUUUAUGAAUUACUUAAUAUUUAACGUAAAGAUGAUUUAUGCUAAUAGACAUUUAUUUAUUUAAACCCAGCUCCGGAGUGUUACUUAAGACAGACAUAUAAGGAAUGUACGGAUCCAUGUAAAUAUA
rnacentral:lncRNA from 1 species